rnacentral:rRNA from 1 species
GAUGAACGCUGGCGGCGUGCCUAAUACAUGCAAGUCGAGCGAGCGGCGGACGGGUGAGUGAUGUCUGGGAAAUUGCACGUUGGGGGGGGGUCACUACUGGGAAAGGUAGACUAUACCGCAUACUAUCAGAGGUGUCCAGGUGGGAUGAGCGAGUAGGUGGGGGAAUGGCUCACCUAGGCGACGCGCCCUAGCUGGUCGGAGAGGAUGACCAGCCACACUGGAACUGAGACACGGUGCAGACUCCUACGGGAGGCAGCAGUGGAGAAGAUUGCACAAUGGGGGCAAGCCUGAUGCAGCCAUGCCGCGUGUGUGAAGAAGGCCUUCGGGUUGUAAAGCACUUUAAGCGAGGAGGCGUUACUCGCAGAAGAAGCACCGGCUAACUCCGUGCCAGCAGCCGCGGUAAUAC